GGUGAACGCUGGCGGUAGGCCUAACACAUGCAAGUCGAACGGCAGCACGGUAAGAGCUUGCUCUUACGGGUGGCGAGUGGCGGACGGGUGAGGAAUACAUCGGAAUCUACUUUUUCGUGGGGGAUAACGUAGGGAAACUUACGCUAAUACCGCAUACGACCUACGGGUGAAAGCAGGGGAUCUUCGGACCUUGCGCGAUUGAAUGAGCCGAUGUCGGAUUAGCUAGUUGGCGGGGUAAAGGCCCACCAAGGCGACGAUCCGUAGCUGGUCUGAGAGGAUGAUCAGCCACACUGGAACUGAGACACGGUCCAGACUCCUACGGGAGGCAGCAGUGGGGAAUAUUGGACAAUGGGCGCAAGCCUGAUCCAGCCAUACCGCGUGGGUGAAGAAGGCCUUCGGGUUGUAAAGCCCUUUUGUUGGGAAAGAAAAGCAGCAGGUUAAUACCCCGCUGUUCUGACGGUACCCAAAGAAUAAGCACCGGCUAACUUCGUG
rnacentral:rRNA from 1 species